rnacentral:lncRNA from 1 species
UAGUGUUCGGCUUGAUAAGGACAAAUAGGGCUUUGAGGGUUUCGAUGGUGAUGCCUUAGAACUCCUGAACGGCGCUUUUCUAGAGGUGCACAUCUGUAAUCUUUGGUUACCACGCCAUGGUGGUUGGGAUCAGGGAUUUAAAUAGCGGUCCGUUACCGAAAUAGCGGCCGUUAUAUAGCGGUAAUGGCACCGUCCGAAACCGUUACUGCCGAAACCCGCUAUACCCGCAAUACACAAUAAGUAAUGUAAAAUUCACGACCGCGAUACCCGCAGUGACCGCAAUAGCGUCCGUUAUGUCCGCGACCGCGACAAACGCGACGCGACCGAAAACGCGACCGCGACCGCAAUUUAAAUCCCUGGUUG